rnacentral:lncRNA from 1 species
AAAACUUGAUGGAUAGUUAUAACACAGCACGCCUAGUCUACAUUUCGAAUCUAUACCUUAUGUUUACUCGCUGCUUCCUGCUAAUGCAAUUGAAAUAGCCAGCAAUUGUUGAAUCUUUCAAAAAGGAAAAAACAUUGGUCGAGCAAUGAAGGUUGUUUCGAUGCGACUUUUGAGUUUCACAAUGUUCUUUAUCAGUCUUUUCUUCCAUUUUUUUCCUAAUUUAUCCUAACAUCCCCACUUGAUUAAUAAUUCUAGACUAUUGAUAAAAAAAACAAAAGUGUUGAGAACCAGCCAACAAGUUCAUCCCGUCCAUCAUUCAUUGCCCACUUGUCAUCUUCUGAUGAAUGCAGCACUACUUGUGAGAGAGGUGUCUGAACCUGUUCUUCACUCUGAACUGAACUCUGAAGCCGCAUGCAGGCACC